GUGUCUGUACCAAGUCCGGCGCCUGUAAUUCAGGGGUUGUCGUUUGUGUAUGUGAUACAAUUUUUUUUUCGUUAAUUUUUCUAUAAAUUAGGCUGUUAGUUUUCUCGUUUGAAUUGUUUUACAUUGUCAUAUUGGGGCCUUUUAUAGCCGACUAUGCGGUAUGGGCUUUGCUCAUUGUUGAAGGCCGUACGUUGACCUAUAGUUGUUAAUGUCUGUGUUAUUUUGUUUUUUUGUGGACAGAGGUCUCAUUGGCCAUCAUACCACAUUUUUUUUUUAUAUUUUACAGAAGCUUCUGACAAUCAAAAGAUAGUAUCGAGAGGAAUUUUUUUAUUGAUUUUUUUUCGUCAUUUUUGUUAACAGCAAAAGUAGGCGAGACACUGGGUUCCGCAUCUUUGUUAGCUAAGGGUUACGAUCCAUUCCCGUUCUCUCCACGGUGCCGACGUGGAGAAAACGGGAGUGGAUCGUAAUCCUUGGCAAGCGAAGAUGUGGGUUCCGCAGAACCCUUACAAAUUUUCAACCCUGAAAUUCGACUUCAAAUUAAUUAUGUUGUUUUUGUCAUAUACAUCUGAAAACAGUUAUUCCUAUGUCAAUAUUUGUUCUUAGUUAAAUAAGUUCAUGCAUAACUAUAUCAUACCUAAAAAAAACAUAUGUAAAUUAUAUGGUUUUAAAAUGUUUAAUUUAUACUUUAGAUAAUAUUUAUUAGCACAAAAAAAAUUCACAAGUUUCUUGCUAUACACAUCAUUAUUUUGUGAAUCCGAAUAAUUCGGUCCCUCCCCGAAAUGGUCCUCUCCUACUUGCGAGGUUAUCGUAGAUCAGCGUAAUAUAAACGACUGAAUUAUUCGGAUUAGUUAAAGUCAUUGUAAUUAGUAACACCCCAAAAUCAGUCUUCCUUGACAUUUCCGGCUAUUUGAAUUUAGUGCGAGUUU
rnacentral:lncRNA from 1 species